AGUACGUGAAACUGCUUAGAGGUUAAGCCCGAUGAACCUGAAUAUCCGUUAUGGAAAAUUCAUCAUUAAUUCUAUGAUAUUUUAAAAAUAUUAUUUGAAAUAUUGUGCAAUUUUUCCAUAUAAGGACAUUGUAAUCUGUUAAUAAAAGUUAAAUUUAUCAUAAGAUCUUUUACUAUAAGUUUAUUCAAAUUAGUUAUUUUCGGAUUUCUAACAUAGAAUAAAGGUAUUGGAUUUGAUAAAUAGUUGACAGAUUUCAUUGUAUAUAGUGCUUAAAUUUUUCGGAAUUUUACAAUAUUAUUUUAAUCUAUUGAUUUUGAUAUAUUGUAUGCGCUUAUAUGAUUAACAAUGCGAUAGAUUCAGGAUACCUUCGGGACCCGUCUUGAAACACGGACCAAGGAGUCUAACAUAUGUGCAAGUCAUUGGGAAUUUUAAUUAAAACCCAAUGGCAUAAUUAACUUAACUGUUUAAAUGGAAUUAGUUUAUGUUUUAUUAUGAAAUAUGAAUUCAAUUCCGGGGCGUUCUAUAUAGUUAUGUAUAAUAGUAUUUAUAUUAUUUAUACCUCUAACUAGAGC
rnacentral:rRNA from 1 species